rnacentral:ncRNA from 2 species
UCUGGUAUGUGCGACUGGCGUAAACGUGGAUAACCACGAGGAAGCACUUAUUUAUAUCGCCGUACGCCUGGGCAAAGUAU